UUCUCUGAGAUGGUGAAUCUUAAUAUUUAUCCAGAUGUGUGCAUCUUCACCAUGGUGAUUGAUGGACUAUGCAAAGAAGGGAAAGUUGAAGCCGCCGAGGAAGUAAUGGAACACAUGAUCAAAAAAGGUGUAGAGCCUAAUAUAAUCACCUAUAACGUGAUAAUGGAUGGGUAUUGUUUGCGUGGUCAACUGGAUAGAGCAAGGAGAAUUUUUGAUAUAAUGAUAGAUAAGUGCAUUGAGCCUGACAUCUUUAGCUAUAGCACACUAAUAAAUGGAUACUGUAAGAAAAAGAAAUUGGCCAAGGCCAUGCAAUUGCUUGGUGAAAUUUCUCAGAGGGGAUUAAAACCUAGUACUGUUACCUACAAUACCAUCUUGCACGGUCUGUUUGAAGUUGGAAGAAUUGGUGAUGCAAAAGGAGUUUAUGCUGAGAUGCUAUAUGCGGGACCCAAACCUAAUAUAUGCACUCAUUCCACUGUGCUCGAUGGUUAUUUUAGGUGCGGACUUGUUGAAGAAGCUAUGUCACUCUUUAAUAAGUUGGAAAGAAAGCGAGAAAAUACAAAUAUUGCAUUUUACACGGUUGUCCUUAAUGGAUUGUGCAAAAAUGGUAAACUGGAUGAAGCUCAUUCUGUUUUUGAGAAGCUUUCUUUGAUCGGAUUGACUCCGGAUGUGAGAACAUACACUACAAUGAUAACUGGAUUUUGUCUACAAGGAUUGUUAGAUGAAGCUAAAAGUAUGCUAAGAAAAAUGGAAGACAAUGGUUGUCCUCCAAACAAUGUAACUUAUAGAGUUAUUUUGCAAGGAUUUCUCAGGUGUAGCAAAUUUAGUGAGAUGGAGACUUUUAUGAAGGAAAUGGCUGAUAGGGGCUUCUCUUUUGAUGCAAGUACAGCUGAACUUUUGGUUAACAUUGUACGGGAGAAUCCUUCCGUCCUUGACAUAAUACCAGAGCUUCACUCGAAAAAUAAGUACUGAAUACUUAUUUUGGCUGGUUUAUUUGGUUAUUAUACAAUUUUCUUUUGUCCCUGCAUGAGAAAUGGCAUCCAAUGCAGUUGCAGAAGUUGAAAAAAAUGGCAUUUAGAACACCACUUGAGCUUUUUGGGCAGGCUUCAGAGGAGGUACUUCACUUGAUACUUUGGUUGUUUGUCUACUCUUAUUUAUCUUGACAUCAUGUCAAUGCAAUCUUAAUUUGAGUAAUUAUAUGAGAUCCCUUUUUGUGUCUAUAUUACAAGUGUAGUUUUCCUUUUAUGUACUAUUAUUUUCCAUCACUUUGAGAUUCAAUAACAGCUGCCUGUAACAUAGAAAAUGUUAUGGAAAAUCUUUCUAUCUCAACCCCUAUAGUAUGAAUAUUUGUAACUUUCAUGAAAUUGAAAUAGAACUUGUUCAAAUAUGAUAGGGUAUAUAUAUCUGAUGUUUAUGAUUUUUCAGCUGACAAUACAGAUAAGUUUUGGCCGAAAAGUUUUAAAUCUCUAUUUUCUGCUGUCUAGUUUUGCAGGAUGAUUUAUUGGACGCCGACAUAAAUAGUUGGCCAUAGUUAGACAUAUGUAAUGUAUUACAACCAAAUGCUCUUUGUAAUUUCUUUGUCCCCUCCUCUCUCUCAUUAACUUUCUUGAAUCUGAUUACAUCAGGAAAGUCAUAGAGCUGGGAAGAUUAUCCAAGUGAUGGACAUUGCGGACUUUAUGUCAGAAGAGGUAAAUUUGAGGGCUCUUCUCAUAUGAAAGAAAUGUGCAGCAUUGAAAUGUGCUCCCUGUCAGAAGCUAUUCUAGUAGCUAGAUCUGUAGUUAGAUUGCAAGACAUUCUUUGACAUUGAUGCUCAAUGUGUUUUUAUGGGUUGCAGAACAAGCUCAUCAUGAUCACACCAGAAACUAAAGUACGAAAGUAUUCAAUUGAUGAUAGGUGUUAUUUUUUGCCUCAUUUGUCAAACAUCUAGCCUUCUCAAUGAAGAUAAGCUUAAAUACUUUGCAACAUAGUCUAUCAUGCUCCUGUACAUUUUCAGCCUUACACCAAAAAUCUGAAAAUUAUAUACAUCUAUAUUUAAAUUACAAGUGUUCUCUUUUUCACCUUUCCCUUCCAAAUCAUAACAACUUUGCUGGUCUUGUGUUCUCGAGCUAUUUGAUGUCCUAUACUUUUCCAGCUCACCAACAGUUCUUUCAGAGUUCCCAACAUGGUCCGUCUUAGUUCAACUAAUUCCAAAAACAUGUACCAAAAAGGAGCUGUAAACUUCGUAACCUUCUUCACAGAGGAUAUACCUGUUGCAAAUUAUUAUUCCUCUUCUUUAUAAGUGAGCAAAAAAGCCAAAAGUAUAGGCCUCUUCUAAACUUUAGAGGGAUUCACGUGCCAUGAAUUUUUGUAAAGUUUUUGCCUCAUUUGCAUAUUCCUUUUUAAACCAAAAGUAAAGUAACAAGAUAUAAUAUAACUUAAUCAUGUGCACUGAGUUUUGUUUCUCCUAAAAACAAUUCGAAGGAGUUUAACUGUUUACUUUUUUAAAUUUUCUUUUAUUGUAUUUUAGUUAACUGUUUACUUAAUCUCUUGUUUUGUUGAACUUAGGAUUCUUCUACAAUUAGUAGCUACCUUAUCUUUUUCUCUUGUGUUUCUAGAGAUAUUUCCAUGCAUCUUUGCUCCUAAGGUGUUAGGAGAGCGCUUGUGUAGUCGGGUUAGUAAUCCUAGGACUGUGUCCUUGAGUAGGAGCUUCUAGUCCGGAGAGUUGGGGUGAGGUGGGUGUCUUUGGUUUGUGAGUGUAUGUUACUACUAGGUGGGUGUCCUUUUCUUGUUUCUUAUUACGAAUUGCUUGUAUUUCUCUUAUUUCGUAUUUCUCUUAUUUCGUAUUUCUCUUAUAUCUAUUUCUAUUAUUUUUUAUUCCUUAUUUCUGCUAUGCCAUCCCUCCUGUUUCAUGUGUCAUUACGACCUUGUGUACUAUUCUUUAUCUUGAGCCGGGGGUCUUAUCGGAAACAACCUCUCUACUUCUUCGGAGGUAGCGGUAUGAACUGCGUACAUUUUGCCCUCCCCAGACCCCACUUUGUGGGAAUACACUGGGUUUGUUGUUGUUGUUGUUGUUGUUGUUGUUAUAAGUUGUGUUGAGUCAAACAUGUCUUUCUUGCCAGUAGCCAUGUGAAACAUUCAACCGUGUAAGGGGCUUUGUCUCCAAUGCCAUAUAUGAUGUUGCCUACUACCUUGGGAGAAUACCUUGUAUCCUGAUUUUAUCGGGAAAAUGCCGGAUUUCUAUUCGGUCUUGUCUGUUUCUGCUUUCAUCCCUUGGCAUCCGUCAAUCACUAGCAAAAAUUGGCUCAUUCCUCCCUUUCACAGUUCACUACACCUUCUGUCCCAGUGUUUUGGAUGGUGAAAGGAGACAAGAGGCGACAAGGUCCCGCCUCGCCACGCGGUGAGGCGAGCGGCGAGGCGAGCGCCUUUUGAAUGUACGGCGACAAUUAAUAUAAAAAAUUAAAAUAAUAUAUAAAUGAUCAAAAUUUCAAUAACACUAAUAUAUUAGGAAAUAUUUCAAGUCAAGAAUUAAGAAUAUAUAGUAGAUAGAUACUAAAAGUCGAGAACUUAAAUAACUCAAGAAUUCAAUAUCCAUAAAACAAGUCUAUUCUUCUUCAAGGUUCGCAUAAUCCUCAAUUCCGACAUGCAGUUCAUUAUAUUGUCCCUCAUCUUCUUCCUCUUCGGAUUCUUCAUUAAAUAGGGCCCGAGUCUGACUUGAACUUGUUGCUUUUCCCUUGGCAAGUGACCUUGACCUUGACUUUCUCCUAAGACCAUAGACAAUAUCAUCAUCAGCCCCAGCUGCCAUAGCAACAGUACCCCAGUUAAGAUCACUUUCCUCAAACACUAGUUCAUCUUCUUGAUCUUCGGGGCCAACAAGUAACCAUUCAUUCGCAUCUUCAGUAUUUUCUAACAUAGUAGGAUCGAUGGUAUCGCGAAUAUCAUAGCGACAUGCCAAUGUUCUAUUGUACUUAACGUACACUAGUCCACUGGUUGUAAACUUAUAACAGUAACACUGACUGUAACAGUGCAAAACACUGCUGGCCGCCGGAAAAUAUAAGAAAAAGAAGAUAAAAAGAGGAAUAAAUAAAAAUAACAGUACCAAAAGACAUAUCCAGUUGUUGGCUUAAGAAGAAGAAGAAAAAAGAUGAAAAAAAAAAAGGAAAUCAGUGCUUACCGGAGUUUCGGAAGUUGCCGGUCGCCGGAAUUACAGUUGUGCGAUGAAUGAUAGCAGCCACAGUGAAUAACUUGUAAGUUCGUAGUGUUAAAAUGUGUAGAUACACCCUAAAAUUAUCUUAUAUACCCAAAACCCUAAUUUUUUUUAAAAAAAAUUAAAAGGCGUCGCCUUUCUCGCCAAGUCGCCUCGCCUCGCCACAUCGCCAUUAUCGCCAAGGCGUCGCCUUUUCAUUUUCGCCUUGCCAUGGACUGCUGUGGCGACAUAGGGUCGGCUCGGCUCGCCUCUCGUCAUUGGCGACGUGGCGUUCACCAUUUACAACACUGUUCUGUCCAAAGGUGUGCUCUUGUUACGGAAUUCUAUUAUUGAAAACACUGUUGAGCUACAAUAACUAGAAUUUUGGAAGUUAGUUGGGAUUGGCGCUUAGUGGCAAUCCCAAGGCUGCUAGAUUUUUGUUUUCCAUGAAAUUUCUUCAGAUUCCGUUGUUCAUCAAUUUCGAUAGUUAAAUCUGCCUUCUGAACUAUGUGUGGUUGAAAAGAGUGUUUUCUGAUGCAUUAACUUGUAUUUUUCAGCCUAUCAAUUUUCCUAUGAAUAAUAUCAUUUUGCUGUCUGAGAUGAAGUCAGUUUCCCUGUCGCCUAAAUUUGUUCCACCAUUUUCCUACCUUGUUCACAAAGCCUUCAUGUUCCAAUCACAUGGUUUCAAAUUUGAAAUAUGAUGUUGUUCCUACCUUGUUCACACUGUUAACUUUAGAGGAUUACGAGGUAUUCAUGAUCAUAUUGAGGAAGAUGAGAGUUCAGAGACAGCCCACCGUGAAGAAAGAAGCUCAAGAAGAUAAUCCGGCAUAUCGCAUGUGUAUACAAAGGAAAAGAAAAAAGACUGUUGGGUUAGAGUGCACACGAUAUUAUAAGGAAUAUUAGUAAUUCAUGUAAUAAAAAAGUGGAAAUUAUCCUAAAUAAACUUGUUAGAUUGUUUAUUACAAAUUAUAGCAACACUUUUCAAUAACAAGUUACAACUUUUAGGAAAAAGUUUUUUUUUUAAAAUAUUAGAAAAUCAUUUUUUCAUAUUUAAUAUUCAUAUUUUAUCCUUAUUUAUAGCCUUUAAUAGUUAUCACUCUUCAUUAAAUCUUUUGAUAAUUAUUGCAAAUUUUAUAGAUAGUUGGUAUCAAUAAUUUUUUUUAUUGUAUUAAGUUACAAAAUAUGUUCACAAUUCAAGGAGUCAAACAUGGUAAAUAUAAUUUUUAUUGUUCUGGCACUUGCUUUGCUUACUUGCGGACCGUAGGUGCUACUUGCGGUCCACAUGUUGACUUAGUAAGUGACAGGAGUCAUCUUUUCAGCUCUUCUUUAAUUUCGUAACAUGCUUCGAUCACGAACAAAUCUAAAAGUGUCCUGAACAUUCAUAAUAGCUCCAAAAAGUAGUCAAAAAUAAUUUUUCCCCAUUUUUUUCACGAACUUAGCAUUAAAAACAUGAUUUCCUACAAAACAUACCCAAAAUGCAUCGUAUCUAACAAAACAACCCUAGAAACUUGCAUAUUUUCUUCGUUUUAAGCGUUAAAAGUGCUAUAUUUCUAUAGCACAUCAAUGUCUCCACUAUAGAAACUAUAGACAUAUGUCUUGGUAACAACCAGUCAGAAAUCGUAACUAAAAUCAUAGCUAGCAGGCUCAAGCCCCACGUAGACAAGAUUAUUAGUCAAAGUCAAGCUACCCUUCCUUCUAGGAGGAGGACUUCUAAUAAUGCAAUCAUUGUCUAGGAAGUCGUUUCCCAUUUCGGGAAAAUAAAGGGCAAAAAGGAAAGUAUGGUCUUGAAGACCUGGAAAAGGCCAUUGAUAGGAUCGAGUUGUCUUUCAUUAGACAAUUCUUCUUAAAAGUUCCUACCAAGCUGAGUUCUCUCAUUUUGUCAUGUAUCUCCACUUCCUCCAUAGUUACUUGGUUAAUGAAAGGAGAACUGAUUUCUUUCACCCCAAGAGAGAAAUCAGACAAGGAGAUCCCAAUCUCCCAUAUAUCUUCAUCAUGUGCAUAGAGCUCCUUUUAAGGAGAAUUGACUAUGAGGUAGAUCUUUUACACUGGAACCUAUUACCAUCAGCAAGAAAGGCCCACCCCUUUUCCACAUUCUUUGCUGAUGACUUGGCUUUUUUUACUAGAGUUAAUGCAAGAAACUGUAUCACUAUGAAGGGUACUCUUAACAAUUUUAGCUUUUUCUCCAGACAUAAAAUCAAUCUCCAAAAAUUCAAAGUGAUCUUCUACAAAAAUUAUAUUACAAAGGAAAAAGAUAAGUUGGCAAUAUCCUAAAUAUCUAAGUUAGGAGAUGACUUUAGGAAGUACUUGGGAUUUCUCAUUUUCCAUAACAAGCCCUGCAGUAUGGACUUUCAAUUCAUUAUAGACAAUCUCAAUACCAAACUCUCUAGCUGGAUAAUUAACUUUCUGAACAUGGCUGGAAGAACUAUCCUUGCCAAAUCCUCUAUUAGUAGCAUUCCCACCCAUAUCAUGCAAUACAUCUCUAUCACCAAUAAUAUUCUCAAACUUAUUGAUAAAACCCAAAGAAACUAUAUCUAGGGAUCUACUGUUGAAAAAAGGAGAAUGUAUUACCCACCCAAAAUGAGACCAUGCUCACAAGUCUUGCUUGGAGAUACUACCAGUAUCCCAACAAACUUUGUGAUAGAGUUCGAGAAAAUGUCACUAGACACUCCUCUUCCAACACUUGGAGAAACAUCUAUUAGGGUUGAAAAACCCAUGCCCAGGCCCCUUAAGGGAUUAUCCAUAAUGAAUGGGGAGAAAAUUAACUUCUAGCUGGACAAGUGGGUUCCCAACCAAGCUCCCCUAAGGAGCCUUAUUUAAGGUCCUGUGGACCCUAGCCAACUAAAUCUCAAACUUGCUUCCAUCUGAAAUAACAAUGAAUGAAACUUAAUUGGUCUUCCACUCUAAAUCCCCUAGGAAAUUAUUCGUGAUUUCACAUGCUCUUUAUACUCUUGACACCAAAAUCAGUGUUGACCACCUCAUUUGGAGACUCACUAGUAAUGAGCUUUUUUCUAGCAGUAGUGCUUACUCCUUUAUUAAAAACAUAGACAAAAAGAAUCCUAGUGAGGACACCAAUCACUUCCAAUGGGUUUGGAAAGCCAGCUACCCCUCCCCCUCCCUCAAGAUUAAAAACUUCAUGUGGCUAGCUCAACAUAACAGACUUCCCACCAACCUAACGCUCUCAAAGAUAAGCAUUAAUACCCUCCUUAGCUGCUGUAGCUGUACGCACCCCUCAGAGGAUAUUCUCCAUAUCUUCUUCUAAUGCCUAUAUGCCAUAGAUAUCUGGAACCCCAUCCUUAGAAACUUACCAUGACAAAGGAAUGGAUAUCACCAGUUUCUAUCCCUCAGCAAAGGAACAUAACUUAGAAAUGUUUACAUAGCCAAAACUUUGAUAAGCUCAUUGUUUAGCAUGAUAUUCUCCCUCUUGUCAUUUGGGUAAUCUGGAAGAACAGGAAUAGCAGCACUUUCAACAACAAGAAAGAAAAACCCAACUUUAACCUCACUUAUGCUGAGGCAGUGAAUUAUACCAACUGGUUAAAAAUAGACUCCAAAACUCCCAAAUGUGGACCAUUUACAUCAAAUGGAAUCCUCCUUGAAUAACAUAUUUCAUGCUUAACUCGGAUGGGUAUUGUCUAGGAAACCCUGAAAAAAAAAAAAAAGGGAUUGGAGGGGUCAUUAGAGAGGGUAGUGGUGGUUGGAUUAUGAGAUAUGCAAAAAGCUUUCCCUCGACUACUAACAAUCAUAUGGAGCUUCUGGCCAUAAUUGAGGGUCUGAAAUUAGCUGAAAUUAAGCAACUCACUCUUUUGGAAAUUAUCAUCGACUCUAAAGAGGUAAUUGCUAUGCUCAAAUAGGGUAACUUACAUUAUAAUGUUCUUUUUGAUGAUUGCAGGUCAAAGCUAAGAAGCCCCACAAUAGCACACUGCUAUAGAGAGCAGAAUGACAUGACAGAUUUGAUGGCUAAGUUUGGAGCAUACACAAUGGAUAUUCUGGAAAUAACUUUUUUUUGAAGUCCCAACAAUGUGUGUCCGGACUGUUAUAUGGUAGACAUAGCGAAACUUAUUUUAAAAGACAAAUUAAAUGUUGUAAUGAAACAAUUGAUGGGGGGAACCCAAUUAUUUUUGUUUUGAAUCCAGAAUCCAGACCGAGUAUAGUCAAGAAUGCUUGUAAUAAACACUCUUUAUUUUCAAUGCAUAUCCUUCUUAAUAAAUAAAUUAAAAAAAAAAAGAAUAUGAUAAGUUUGAGUGCUUUUCAUAUGGUGCAAAACUAUGUAAGUUGAUGAGGUCAUUGUUCAUAAAGUACAUGCAGCUUUUUUUUUUUUUUGAUUUUUUUUGCAAUGAUGUACCUUUGCUUGAACUUUCUUUUUGUUUUGAAGCUUAGUUAUCGCUUUCACUAUUUUGCUCACUUUAUUUUAAAAUAUGUGAUUUUUUUUUAUCUUUUCAUUUUAUUCAAUAUAAAUGAUGUUUUACGUAAUUAAGAAGAAUUUAGCUCUUGAAAUUCCAUCAUUGUUACAUAAAUUCAAACAUGUUGUAAUAUAUAAUUAUUUAAAAAAUAUGUAAAAAAAUAUAAAUCAUAAUAAUUAACAACUUAAAUAUUUGAAAACUAUAUAAAUUUUUUUUGUUGAGUGUCCAAAUUUUAUCUGUCCUACAAAAAUUGUGAUGGAAGGAGUAACAUUAUUUAAAAAUAAUGUAAAAGUACAAUAAAUCACAAUAAUUAAUAACUUAAAUAUCUAAAGACUAUCUAUAAAAUUUUUGAUUGAGUAUUCAAGUCAAUUUUCAUUUGGGUUGCAUAAAUUGGACAAAGAAAGUACUAUAUAUUGGGUCCGAUCAGGCACAAGUUACUGUAUCUAAUACUCUCUCUGUCCCAUUUUAUGGUUCACCAUUUCUUUUUUUGUCCGUUCCAAAAGAAUGUCUUUAUUUGGCGACUAUUUAACGGCACAAUUUCACUAUUACUCUUACUGGUCCCACUUAAUUAAAGAUAAUGGUACUAUGUUUUUAAUAAAGAACAAUUUAGUAAAUAUCACCAAAUUUUUUUUUAUUUCUUAAAUUUAUGUUCGAUCAAAAUAUGUCACAUAAAAUGAGAUGGGGAGUAGUUAUUAAAAUUACUCUGCCAAAAGUAAAAUGAAAUAAAAUUAACACUUUGUUUGGAUGGUUUGCCAUGAUAUGAUAAUGUACGGUACUAUAUUGUAUGAUAUUAUACUGUACAAUAUAGUAUAAUAUAAUGUUUGAAUGGACUGUAUCAUUCACUGCUGUUUAGUAACAACUUUAUUGUUUGGUCUGACAACAUAGUAAUGUAUCAUUAUUGGUAAGAUUACUAAAAUGCUCUUAAUUAUUAUAAAUGUUAAAUUUAUCAAUAAUUGUUAACAAAAUAAUUUUCUUCCUACUAAUUUGUCAUAAAUAAUGCCAUACAGAUAUAUUAAUUUGUUAAAUUCAUGUAAAUUCUAACAAAGUCAAUAAAAGAGAAGAUCAAAAUAAAUAUAACCGGAUUCAUUUUUAUAGGAACACAUUUUAUUUCUUUAUGGUAUUAUGAGAUAUGACACCAACGACAAGUACAGAAUUUAAAUGUAUCUUUGGUGUAUGUUACGACUGAGUGCGGUAUGAAAUUCAAAAAAAUAUUUUCUAGAAAAAUACGUUAUUUUUUACUUAUUUUCUUGUAUUUGUAACACAAGUAGAAACAUAUUUUCUAAAAAUAUUUGAAUAUAUUUAACACAAAAUAAUGAAAAUGAAUAUGAUGAAGGGGGGCGAGGUAAGAAAAAAAAAUUGAGUUUUUUUAAAUAUUUGGUGGUAGUGGAGUAGGGGGUUGGGGUCGGGGUAAGGGUAAGGGUAAGGGUGGGGUACAAAUUUUUUUUUUUUUUUUUUAAAAUUAAACUAUUGAAUGGUUAUUUGCAAUCUAAACUUUUUAUCGAAGGGUUAGGAUGAACACUCUUGGGGCUUUGGGCUAUAAGUGACAAAAAAGUUUUAAAAUGAGGUGUAGGUGACACAAGUCUUAAUAAUUGGGUAGAGGUGACAAUUACUUUAUUAUGGAUUAAGAAAUUUUGAGAAUAACCCACAAGUUUUUAAAUUUAUACAUUGAUCCAAAUGUUUACCUAAUAAAAUGAGAAACGGAGGGAAAAAAGACAUCUUUCUCUCUCUUCUCAUCCAUUGUUGUUUUCUCUCUCUUAGCGAUUUUUGUUGUUCAUUGUUGCUGCUUCUUUAUUCAUCAUCUUCUACUUCAUUAUCAUUAUCUUCUACUUCAUUAUCAUCUUCAUCUUCUUCUUGUUGACCAUUGUCGUUGUUGUUGUUGUUAUCGCUACUGUUGCUAUUUGACCAAUUUAUUUAGGUCAAAUCUUGUUUCGUACAUCACUUUCCACUUUGGCAUUACUUCAUAGGAGACUUUGGUAAGUCAAAUUAUGAUUUUUCGUUGAAUUUUUCAUCAAGGUAACUGCUAUUGUGAUGUUUUUCCAACAAUGGAUUGAACCCAAUCAUGAAUCCAACAUAAGAUCCAUCUGCUUAAACAGAUAAAUCAUCUGUUGCGAUAGAUGAGACAUCUGUUUCAAUGAAAGACUGAUAUGUUGGAUUCAUGUUUAUGGUUCUAUAGGACAUAACAUGAAUCGAACAGAUGGGUCACCUGUUGCAACAGAUAAUUUAUCUAUUUAAACAGAUUAGUUAUCUGGUGCAACAUAAUAAAUAUCUGUUGCAACCGAUUAUUAACCUGUUGCAACAGAACCUAAACUAAUUCCAACAGAUGUGUUGUCUAUUACUAGGGUAAAUAUCUGCUGCAACAAAUUAUUAACCUAUUGCAACAGAACCCGAACUCGAUUCUAACAAACAGAAAAUAUCUGUUGCAAUAUAUUAGUAACCUGUUGCGAUAGAACCUGAGUUCGAUUCCAACAGAUCGUAGUUUGUUGCAACAGGUAAGUCAUCUAUCGCAAUGGGUUAAUUAUCUGUUGGAACAUGUCACUCAUCUGUUGGAAUCAGCUUUAAAGGUGCCUCAGUACUGUAAUAUUAAUCCUAACAGAUAUAUAGUCUGUUGCAACAUAUGAUUCACCUGUUACAAUAGAUGACUAGUCUGUUGAAAUCAGCUUCAAGAGCGUAACAUGAAUCCCAACAAGUAAGUAAUUUAUUGCGACUGAUUACACAUCUAUUGGGAUUUAUUUAUGGCACUAUGAAAUCACUAUUAACUUUUUUUAACAAAUGACUUUAUUUAGGUACCACUAAUAGAGGGAUCAAUAACAAUAGGGGUGGAUUGUUAUAGUUAAUGGAUCGAGAAGAGCAAUCGAUAUGUAUGGCGUUGGAACGAGGGUGAAGUACUAGAGACGAUAGCUAUGACAGUCCAAAGUGAUGUUUUAUAUGAUGAUUUUGUAAACUUAAUCAUCAGUUAUUAUGGACUGAAUUGUCAAUCAAAAGAACUUGUCAUCAGCUACAUGCACAACUCCUUUGAAAAUCAGAGGGUACUGCCUUUCAAGAUAAUCGAUCAGGUUCAGUUGCGUUCUUAUCUUAGUGAUUCAUCCAGGAUAGUGUUAAGGGUGUAUGUGGUUGAAAAGACGAGAGAGAAUGAGAACCAAAAUUUAGAAGAAUAACAACAACAAGACAUCUUUGAUGAUAGUUUAGAUGAUCCAGAAAUGAAUAGUCCAGACGAUGAUCAAACACCUACGCCCGCUGAUACGACCAAUAAGAUGUGUAAUUCUUCUCAAUCAACACAGUCUGGAAAUCUUCAAGACUAUGGGGCUGACUUUUUUUAUUGAAAUGUCAUUCAAGGACACGAAUAAACUAUCUAACACUUUGUUUAUUUCUUGCUUGAAAAAAGAUUUUAGAAUAAAGAAAGUGAUUAAUUCAAGCAGUGUCUUUUGCUUCAAAUGUGCUAAUUCAAACUGCAAGUGGUGGUUGAGAGAGGUGAAGUAUGCAAGUUUGAAAUAUUCGUCAUUCAUAAACAUGAAAAGCAUCACACAUGUGGUUCGAAGCACAUCUUGGACCAAAAUACUCAUACCACGUCAAAGGUCCUCGGUGAAUAUUUCAGGAGUAGUUUCCCCGAUGGCAAAGACCCUUUAACAAGGGUUAUGGCCAAUCAACCCCUUACGGAAUUGGGUGUCCUGGUCAGUUAUUGGAAGAUAUAUAUAGCCAUGGGAGUCGUCAAGGACUUGGUUAGGGUGACACUCGAGCAUGGGUAUAUAUUCCUGGAUGCCUACCGUUACAUGAUUGAGUCCACAAAUCUCGAAAGUAAGACGACAUUGCAUCUUGAUGAAAAUGGAAGGUUCAAGUACUUUUUUGUAUCCUAUGGUGCUUGGAUUCAAGGUUUUCGAUAUUUGAAAAAAGGCAUAGCCAUCGACGGUACCUUCUUGAGGAGCAAGUAUAAUGGAGUUCUACUAGCGGCGGUGGUGCAGGAUGCAGCGAAUCACAUCUUUCCUGUCGCUUUUUGUGUAGCGGACAAGGAAUGUGAUUCCUCUUAUGGAUUUUUUUUGAACAACUGUGAAGCUGCCUUGAAGAUACCGAAGAGUUGUGUUUUGUAUCGGAUAGGCAUCCAAGUAUUCCAAAGAUGGGUUCACAUUUUUUACCUUCAGCUUACUUUAGUUAUUGCAUCAGACAUCUUGGAGAGAACAUUCGGACAAACAAUCACAACGAAAGGGUCGUGACUUUUUUUUAUAGACUAGCUAAAUCAUAUAGUAGAGAGGAGUUUUUAGACCAUUUCAAUUAAAUAACGGAUGUGAAUCCCAAGGUAACAGAAUUUCUCGUACGUGUCGAUUUCAAGAGAUUGACCUGGGCAUUCUUUCUGGCAUAUAGGUACAUAAAUUUUAAUGCCUUCUUUGAGUUACAAGUUUAGUAUGAUGUCGUACUAAGUGAUUCUUCUGUAUAGGUACAAUAUUAUGACAUCAAACAUAGCUGAAUCGGUGAAUUCAUUGUUUGAAGAUAAAAGAGAAUUUCCCAUCAAGGCUAUGUUUGAAAAAAUAAGCCAGAAGUAUGGUGAAUUUUUUAACGAAAGGUGUGAGCAGUUCAAGUGCCCCAAAACAAGAACCCGAUUUUUUCUCGAAAUCAAAAAAUAAUAUCAACGAUCGUCAGUUUGGGGAAUAGAUUAUUACCUCAUAAAAUAGAAGAUUACAAUUUAGUAUCACCGGUCAUGGUGAUGUUGCCAUGAUCAAUCUUCAAACAAGAUCUUGUAGGUGCAGAGUUUUGACUUGGACAAAAUACCCUGUCCACAUGCUAUGACAGCGCUUCAAGCUCAAUACGGUCAUAAAUAUGAAACUGAAGUUUACAAGCACUCCUCUCAAUAUUAUUUGAUGAAAAAAUAUGAAAUGGCAUAUAGUGGGCAUAUUACUUUGGUGCCUCCCGAAGAAUCUUGGGUUGUUCCUGCAGAGCUUAUGGGGAGAUUAAUACCUCUUCCAUAUAUUGACCCAAGCACAAUCAAAUCGAAAAGAAAGCCAUAUAAGAGGAGGCGUGGAGUCGAAGAAUCAUUUUCAUCAAGAAGAAACAAGUGCUCCAUAUGUAAGUGCACUGGCCACAAAAGAACUACAUGCCCAGAUUGUAAUCCACCAUGAUCAUUGUAAUUGUAGGAACUUGUAUAGUUGUUUGUUGUGGACCUUUAUAUAUUUAAAUCAUUAUUGUGAACAUAAUGUUAUCAUUUAUUAUAUAUAAAAUAUCUUUUUAAUAACUUGUAUAUCAAUAAAAAGAGGCAAAACAUGAACUAAACAAUACAAUAGACCAUAAGUAUUUUCAACAGAUUACCCAUCCGUGACAACAGAUAGACAUUAGCUGGAAGAACCCAACAUAAUUAAUUUCAUAAAAAUGGAAAGUUUUCCUCCAAUAGAUAAUAAAUUUGUCGCAACAAAUGGAUAAUCUGUUGACAGAAACCCAACAGAUGAUCAAUCUGUCCCAACACAUUGUCCAUUUGUUGAAAGAACUCAAAAGCCAAAAUUGCUAGUGCUACUGGAUUCAAAAUUGCUAUUGCUACUGGAUUUAAAAUUGAUCCUUACCUCUAACCAUUGAUACGUUAAUAUGUAAAAUAUUUAGAAGAAGAAAUAGACAGAAUGAAAAUUGUAUAAGAAUUAAAAAGCCAAAAUCGACUAAAAAUAAAUUUUUCAUUAAACGAAAAAUAAAAUACAUUAGGUAUAGAUCCGAUAUAGAAAAAUUAAAAUACAUACGCUAAAAGAAAAAACACAUUCUAAUUAUUGUUUUAUCAUUAUCAUUAAUGACAGCUGGCCAAUAAACUCGCAGCAGUAGGGCCCUCAUCAGCCUCUGUAUCUCUCUAAACAUCGUUGCUAUCACAGCGAUCAACUCCCUCUGCAGUUCAUUAACUCGCCUCUAAAUUUCCGCGCUGUGUCAUGCAGAAUAUCGUCGUUCAAACUGGUGGCAUUUUUUUCUGUGAAAAGUCACUGCUUUUUCGUUUACAUUAAUACUUCUCUUCUUUUCAAAACGGUUUUGAGAAGACUUUAUAACAACUGUUAUUAUUGAGCUGUUGUAACAAAUCAUUCAUCUUCCACAACAUAUUUACCAUCUGUUGCAACAUAUAGAUUAUAUGUUGUGAUAGAUGGACCAUAUGUUGGGGAUGUUUUGAUUUCUUCUAACAGGUGAUUCAUUAGUUGCAACAGAUGGAGAAUUUGAUUCAUUAGUUGUUUUGACUAUGUUAGAUAAAAAGUCAUGACUCUUCACCUCUUUUUUAAUAGUCAUCAUAUGCGUGCAGAUGAAUUAAAAAUGUCUGGUCUGUUACAAUAGAUUAACAAUCUGUUGCAACUUAGAUAUUUUGAUUUUUUUCAACAGCUGAUUCAUCAGUUUCAAUAGAUAGAGUUUUUGAUUCAUUAGUUAUUUUGAAUGUGUUAAAAAAUUCACGACUCUUCAGGCCUCUUUUUUUUUUAAUUGUUAUCUCAUACGUGCAAAUGAAUACACAAUACUAUAAUGUCUUUGAUGGGUAGGAAGAAUAAGGUGAGUGCACUAGAUACACUUUCAUGAGUGGGAGUUGUAUAUUAUUGAUCAGUCUACUGCGAUGGACACACAUAAAGUGCAAUAAUUUUGUGAAUGUAGUUUUUUACUGAUUAGACACUGAUCCUUCAAACAAGAUCCUGCAUUUUACAGUUUAGUUUGAUAGGUGCAAACUAAUAAGGACGAAGGGUUCUAAGAUCGUGGCCUCAAUAGACUUCUUGAAAGGCCUCCGAAGCCUCACACUGCAGCAAACAACAAUGGAACCAAUAGAAAGACCCCUAUUCCAAAUUUAUAUGGAUGGAUUGCUGGAGGAGACUUUUAUAUAGCAGAAGGUGCUCGGGAGAAUAACUGUACGGGGAGGGGGAAGUGGAGAAGGCCAUAUAUAAUCUCAGACCUUGUUUAAGAGGAAACACAGGGAGCAAGCAAGGAAAUUCUAGUGAAUCUGGCUAAUGAAAUUGCCAUGAGAAACAGAAAAACUAGAUGAGCUUCAAAUGUGGAAGUGUAUCCAAAAAUAAAAAUCCAUCAGUCAUUGAAAAAAAAGAAGAAUAGUCAAUAGGACUGGAGCUGGACACUUUGCUCGAGGAUGCAACUAGCGAGCGUGGCCUCAAUGAAGACUCUCACAAAGUGCAGGACCAUAACUCUAAGAAAGAAGUUUCGCGAUCAUAGAAAUUAAUAUGAUUUUCAAUCAGAAUUUAAGCCUAAACCAACAACUCCUAAAUUAAAAAUACGGGAUCAAGCCAAGGUAGAAAUUUCUCAAGUUAAAUUUGCAUGCCAUGCCUUCUGUUUGUGGCUAUGAUCAGGUCGAUGGAGUAGAAAUAGAAAGGUAUGAAGUUGGGCAGAAAUCCCAUGCCUUGGUGUUUACACUACUUUUGACCUGAAUAGAGCCAUAAACAAGAGGCAUGGGAUGCAGGUUUGACUUAAGAAAUUACCACCUUGGCUUGAUCCCCGUAUUUUUAAUUUAGAAGUAGUUGGUUCAAGUUUCAAUUAUGACCGAUAAUCAUAUCAAUUUUGUGUGCUCGUAAAACUUCUUCCUUAGAGUUCUGGACCUGCAUUUUGUGGGUCUUCAUUGAGGCCACGCUCGCUAGUUGCUAUCUCUAGCAAAGAGACCAGCUCCAGUCCUUUUGACCAUUCUUAUUUUAGUUCAACGACUGAUGGAUUUUCAUUUUUAGAUACGUUUUCACAUUCACAACUCAUCCAGUUUUUUCAUUUUUCAUGUCAAUUUCAUCAACCAAUUUCGCUACACUUUUCUUCCUACCCUAUGUUUCCUCUUAGACAAGUUCUGAAAUGAUAUAUGGACUUCUCAACCUCUCUCUUCCCACACAGGUAUUCUCCCAAGCACUUACGGCUGUAUAAUAGUCUCCUCCAGCAACCCAUCUAUAUAAAUUUGGAUUAGGGGAAUUUCUAUUAGUUGCAUCGGUGUUUGCUACAGUACGAGGCAUCGGAGGCCUUUCAAGAAGUCCAUUGAUCCUUUAAAAUCGGUCCAAUCACUAUUAGAUAUUUACACUUCCGCCAAAAACUUGAACCCUUCCCCAAACUUGACACAAAAAAAUGAGCAUAAACGGUCAUUAAAUUAUAAUAGGGUAUCGACACCACUUACUUGGUCCCUCAGCUUUACCAGCUCAAACCUAAUAAUCUUAACUAUAAAAUGCCAUAUCUUGUUUGAAGAAUUAAUGCCUAAUAGGUAAAGAACAAACAUUCACAAAAUCAUUGUACUGGAUAUGUGUUUUCACGAUAGGUUGAUCAGUAAUACAUACCUUCCAUAUAUUAAGUGGUUCCAUUUGUAAGUAGCUUAUUUCUCUGAACCCAUCUUUACUCCAGCCUUUAAUGUUGGUCAGGCAAAAAUGGAUCCAGUUUCACUUCUUUUUAUCUACAAAAAAGAGAAAUACAUUUGAUGUCAAAUAAGAGAAGAAGAAAAAGAAUAUUACAAAAGGUAACACAAAAUUGAGAGAAUAAACAGAUGACCAAUCUGAUGCAAUAGAUUGCCCAUCUACUCAAUCAGAGGCAUCUGUUGCAACAGAUAGAUGACAUGUUGCAAUAGAUAAGUCAUCUGUUGGAAUAAAUCAAAUCAGCCUUGCUACUGGUUUGAUUUUUUCAAAUAGUUGCUCCGUCUGUACAAAAGGGUAACACAAAAUUGAGUGAAUCAACAGAUGACUAAUUUGAUGCAACAAAUUACCCAUCUGUUCAACUGAUGAGGUAUUUUUCAUCAGAUAUAAAAAUAAUAGUUCGUUCAUUCAAGGCUUAAAAGUCACCUUUCCUUCAAUUUUCUCAAUAAAUAGGAAACUGGUAAAUAGGUAAAUAAUCAAUAGCAACAGAUAUAAAUAUCUAAUUUUAAUGACAUACAAAGAACUGGAUGCGAUAGUGAAUCUUUUCAAAAUAUUUUGCAAUUUCUUUUCCCACUAUUUGAAUAAACAACAAUGAGUGGUUGAUUUAAAUAACUAUAACAUAACAUAUUUUUUCUUUGCUUCGAGAGUCUUUAAAAAGAUUUAAAAAAAUUGAGACUAUUUUUUAAUUUUACGUCUUGUACUUUAUUUUUGUUUUGGCUAUGUUAAUCCGUCGGUGUAAUAUUUUUGCACAAAGACGAAGGUUUUGCAAUUAAUCCUAAACCUCUAUAUAAUAGUUCAACAAUAAUAAUUAUGUUUGAAAUAACAAAAGAACUUUGUUGCAAAAAAGUGUACAAAAUCAAAGAAAGUUUUUUUGCAAACAAAAUUUCUUUUAUAGAAAUUAUGUAAGAUGUAUUAUUUCCUAUACAUCAAACCAAACAAUGUAUAAGAAAGAAAUAAUACAUGAAUAAUACAAGUAUUAGUAAUGCAAGCAUUACUAAUACGGUAUAUUUUGUAUUAUUCUUAUACACUUUACUAAAAAACGACCCCUGAUUGAUUAAUCUAGGAUCAGGGGUGAGUUAUCAUAGGGUCAACUACAGCUUCAAUUGGGUCUUUCUUCAAUUGAAAUGAUGAGACGGUAUCGCAUUCCUCCCGACCAGAGUCGCCGAUCGAACCAAUUCUUACUACCUCAAAUGUUAGACCAAUACCUCAACUGAUUAAUCUAGGACUAGGGGUAAGUUCUAAUAGGGUCAACUACAACUUCAAUUGAGUCUUUGGGCAAUUGAAUGAUGAGAUGGUAUUGCGUUCCUCCCAACUAGAGUCGUCAAUCGAACCGAUUCUUACUACCUCAUAUGUUAGAUCAAUAACUUCAAUUAAGUCUUUGGGCAAUUGAAUAAUGAGAUGGUAUUGCGUUCCUCCCGACCAGAGUCGUCGAUCGAACCAAUUCUUACUACCUCAUAUGUUAGAUCAAUACCUCAAUUGAUUAAUCUAGUACCAAGGGUGAGUUCUCAUAGGGUCAACUACAACUUCAAUUGAGUCUUUGGGCAAUCAAAAUAAUGAGAUGGUAUUGCGUUCCUCCUGACCAGAGUCGUCGAUCGAAUCAAUUCUUACUACCUCAUAUGUUAGACCAAUACCUUAAUUGAUUAAUCUAGGACCAGGGGUGAGUUAUCAAAGGGUUAACUACAACUUCAAUUAAGUCUUUGGGAAAUUAAAUGAUGAGACGGUAUUGCGUUCCUCCAAACCAGAGUAAUCAAUCGAAUCGAAUUUUUACUACCUCAUAUAUUAGAACAAUACCUCAAUUGAUUAAUCUUGUAGAGAGAGUGAGUUCUCAUAAGGUCAACUACAACUUCAAUUGAGUCUUUGGGUAAUUGAAAUAAUGAGAUGGCAUUGCGUUCCUCUUGACCAAAGUCAUCGAUCAAACUGAUUUUUACUACCACAUAUGUUAGACCAAUACCCCAAUUGAUUAAUCUAGGACCAGGGGUGAGUUCUCAUAGGGUCAACUACAACUUCAAUUGAGUCUUUGGGCAAUUGAAUGUUGAUACAAUAUUGCUUUUCUCCCAACCAGAGUCGUCGAUCGAAUCAAUUCUUACUACCUCAUAUGUUAGACCAAUAUCUCAAUUGAUUAAUCUUGGACUAGGGGUGAGUUCUCAUAUGUUCAACUACAACUUCAAUUGAGUCAUUGGGAAAUUAAAAUAAUGAGACGAUAUUGCAUUCCUCCCGACCAGAGUCAUCGAUCAAACCGAUUCUUACUACCUCAUAUGUUAGACCAAUACCUCAAUUGAUUAAUCUAGGACCAUAGGUGAGUUCUCAUAGGGUCAACUACAACUUUAAUUAAGUUUUUUGGCAAUUGAAAUGAUGAUAAAGUAUUGCGUUCCUCUUGACCAGAGUCAUUGAUCGAACCGAUUCUUACUACCUCAUAUAUUAGACCAAUACCUCAAUUGAUUAAUCUAGGACCAGGGUUGAGUUCUCAUAGGGUUAACUACAACCUCAAUUGAGUCUUUGGGCAAUUGAAUGAUGAGACAAUAUUGCGAUCCUCCCGACCAUAUUUGUCUAUCAAACCAAUUCUUACUACCUCAUAUGUUAGAGUAAUACCUCAAUUGAUUAAUCUUGGACCAGGGGUGAGUUCUCAUAGGAUCAACUAUAACUUUAAUUGAGUCUUUGGGAAAUUGAAAUGAUGAUAUGGUAUUUUAUUCUUCUCGACCAGAGUCAUCGAUUGAACCAAUUCUUACUACCUUAUAUGUUAGACCAAUACCUUAAUUAAUUAAUCUAGGACUAGGGGUGAGUUCUCAUAGGGUCAACUACAACUUCAAUUGAGUCUUUAGGCAAGUGAAAUGAUGAGACGGUAUUGUGUUCCUCCUGACCAGAGUCGUCAAUCGAACCAAUUCUUACUACCUUAUAUGUUAGACCAAUACCUUAAUUGAUUAAUCUUGGACCAGGGUUGAGUUCUCAAAGGGUCAACUACAACUUCAAUUGGGUCUUUGGGCAAUCGAAAUGAUGAGACGGUAUUGCAUUCCUUCCGACCAUAGUCAUCGAUUGAACCGAUUUUUACUACCUCAUAUGUUAGACCAAUACCUCAAUUGAUUAAUCUUGGACCAGGGGUGAGUUCUCAUAGGGUCAACUACAACUUUAAUUGAGUCUUUGGGCAAUUGAAAGAGUCGUCGUUCGAACUAAUUCUUACUACCUCAUAUGUUAGACCAAUACCUCAAUUGAUCAAUCUUGGACCAAGGGUAAGUUCUCAUAGGGCAACUACAACUUCAAUUGAGUCUUUGGGCAAUUGAAAUAAUGAGAUGGUAUUGCAUUCCUCCCGACUAGAGUCAUCGAUCGAAUCGAUUCUUACUAUCUCCUAUGUUAGACCAAUACCUUAAUUGAUUAAUCUAGGACCAGGGGUGAGUUCUAACAACAGAUGGGUAAUCUAUUGCGACAUAUGACAAUCCAUUUGAUAAUUUACAAUAGAUAGGUAAUCUGUCGCAAUAGAUUACUUAAUUUGUUUGAUAAUUUGCAACAGAUUAGUAUCUGAUGCAACAGGUUGAACAUUUAUUUUUAUACAAUUUCAAUUGAGUUCAUAUGCCUAAAUUUAUUAAACUAAGAUCAGGGGUGGGUGAGUUCAUAGGGUCAACUACAACUUCUAUUGAGUCUUUUGGCAAUUGCAUGAUGAGAGGGUUAAAAAUUAUGUAUACCUUUUAUAAUUUUAAAAAAUAAUUGAUAUCAAUUCGGACCAAAUUAAAAUUUUCAAAACUUUUCAUUCUUUUCCAAAAUACAAAUCAGCCCAUGCAAAUCAUCCAUUUACAAAAAAAAUGUUUCAUCAUUUCAAAACUCAAGUUCUCGCUCUUUUCUCUUUCUCACUCAAUUAUACAGUACAAACAACAACUAUAAAUACUGAACAAAUUGCUCUACCCUUCACAACAGAUCAAUUUUCUUCUCAUUUCUGACCACAUAGUUUUUAUUUUUGACUUUAUUCUUGCCUGUAUCUGCCGUUUUGUCUAUCUUCAUAGGUAACAAAGUUCGAAGAGUUCUGUAUUUGUUAUUUUUUUCUAAAAAAAUAAGCGCUUUUAAAUUAAUGAUGAAAAAUAAAACUAUUAGUUGUAUUAUCUUUGGGAAUGGAUUUACAAUUUUGAGUUUUGAUGGUAAAAUCAUAGGAAGAACUCGAGAAAACCCUAGUUUCUAUCGUAGUAUUUCGUUGACUGUAGUGAUAUUGUUGGAUGGUGUUUAUGGUGUUUGUUGUGUUUGUGGUAGUGGUAGUGGUAGUCGUCGUUGUUGUGGCACUAGUAGUCGAUGUUAGUGGCAUUGGUUAACAGUGUUUAUGGUGGCUGUCGGCGGUGUCAGUAUUCGUGGUGUUUGUGGCAUUGGUUGGUGGUGGUUGUGGUGGUGGUUGUUGUUGGUGUGUCAUUAUAGGUGGUGUUUGUAAUGUAUUUUUUAAAAUUUAUACAUACAUUAAUUGUAAUGUAUUUUUUAUUUUUUUCUUUUAUUUGUAGAUACAACAUGUCUUCCAAAAGAAAAGAAAGUGAAAGUGGAUCAAUAUCUGACCAUCCCCCCAAAAGGCUACAGUAUAGAGAGAUUCAGAGGAGCUUCCUGAACAAUCUCAGUCAGGAAAACUAAUUAAAGCUGAGAAGAGAGAUGAAAACAUUGAGGGAAGUGGACAAAGGUCUGUAGACAGUGAUGAAGAAAAUGAAAGUGAGAAAGAGAAGGAAUUAGAGAGUGAGAAAGAGAAAGAAAAAGAGGAUGAUCAUCAACAUGAUGAUAAUGGAUCACUAAUGGGGCAUGAAUUAAUGUCGACAUCCCAACAUGAUCCUAUCAAAACUUUUAGUAUUGACAAGCUUCAAGUUGCUAUGCUGAUAAAUGACAAAAAAGUAGAAGAAGAACUAACUUGUCAAAUUGUACUUAAAUGUCAAGUGGGGAGUAAAUUUACUAAUUUUAGGAAAAUUAUGAAGGACGAAAACAUAGACGAACUUUUUAAGAAGAGUUUCUCUGGAUGCUUUCUUGAGCUGGCUGAGGACGCCCCUGCCCUUUUUCCAAUGAGUAUGGUAUAUGGUCUUCUCAAGCGUAGGAUCAAGUACGUGAGGGGCAACAAAAAUAUGGAUGAAAUCUGGAUCAACUACUGUGGCAUGCCGGUUUGUUUUGGAUUGCAAAAGUUUUCCAUAGUAACGAGCUUGAGAUGACAUCGUCCAAAAGAACCACCUAUCGCUAAGGGAACACCCCGCAAAAGAUCCUAAGUAAGAAAAUGCAAGAAAAAAUUAUAUGGAUUGUUUGACAUUGCUCGAUGUGGAUACAAAGCAUUGGAUUUGUUAACAUAUCUCAUGGAUAAAAUCAUACUUAAGCAGUACAGGGAGAAAUUGUGCUUAGUUUGGUUUGCCCAUUCAGUUAUAUUGGCAAGAGACAUCAACAAGGUCAUAGAAGAUGAUUUGUUGGCGUGUACUGAGGAUUUUGAUAAAUUCAAUAAUUAUCCCUGGGAUAUGACAACUUCUACUUGACUGUCCAAUAUUUACUGACAAAGCUAACCUCAGGGAUGACUACAUCAUACGACUUUCCUUGGGCUCUCACGAUAAGAUUAAUUACUAUUUCAACUCAUCCAUAAGUUAUAUUGAAUAUAGUUAUUACGAAUUUUAUUUAACUUUCUUCCUGUUUACAUUUUUAGGCUUGGGAAUUUGAAGUCAUUCCUCUCCUUCAAAAGUAGGUAAUGGAUUAACCGGAUGAGGUUUCUCAUCUAAGGAUGUUUAGGUAGUUGGCUGCACAGAACAACACAAAAAUUAAGGAGGAUGAUCUCUUUAGCCCUUCGAAUGAUGCAAUAUGUCUUCUUCAAGUAAAAUAAUUUUACUCAAUGAAAGUUAUUAAAUAGAUGUUAUAUCUGGUGCAACAGAUGUUAUAUCUAAUGCACCAGAUGGUACAUCUUUUGUAACAGAUAACCCAUCCUGUGCCAAUCGAUGCAACAGAUGGAUAAUCUAUUGCGACAGAUAAUUGAUAUCUUGCAUCAGAUUACCUAUCUGUUGCUUUGAUUCUAUGAACCCGACUCCUAACAGAUUAACCAUCUACUGCAAAUUAUGCAAAAAGUGUGUAAUUUGAUGUAACAUAUUAUUAAUACACAUACAAAUAAUCUGGUGCAUAACAUGUAACCUAACAAAUUACUCAGCUUGCGCAAUUGGUGCAAUAGAUUGGUAAUCUGUUGUGACAUAUGAUUGAUAUUUUGCAUUAGAUUAUCCAUGUGUUUCUCUGGUUCUCUAAACCUGACUCAAACGUAUUUUAACCAUCUACUACAAACUAUGCAAUAGAUGUAUAGGUAGAUGCAACAUAUUGUUAAUCUAUUGCAGAAGUUGACUGUUAAAAUGUUAACACAACUGUGAAAAUUAUUAUAUUAUAUGAUUUAAAUGUAUCUGUCUUUUUUUUAGGUUGUGCAUCCAUGGAUCAUGCCUAUUGAGGAGGAGCCAUUGACGACUUCUUAUAUUACUCUAGGUCAUAUUGAUACUAUAGCAGACCUAACGGUGGGGUUAAUAAGGAAGGAAUUGGCUGGAGCAACAGUUAUAAGAAGAGCAGUUAGGCAAGGGCAGCCUAAUAUUGAAGCUCUUCAUAACCAACCUACUAAGAAAGAUCUGGGUGCUUCUUCUGGUAGAGUUGUUGGUGUUGGGGUAGCCAUGCUGAUGCUUAUACCACUCGUGAUGAUGAGCUUGUUGAUGCUUACAAAAAAAAUAUGUUUGAAAAUACCGCUUUUCACCCUUACAUAGGUCCCUCUCACCCCUCUUCACCCUCGUGUUCUCAUUGCGAAUGCGAAGAGUGCUAGGACAGCCAGGAUAAACUCUUUGAAAAAUUAGAGGCUAUCUUUAAAGCUGUCGAGGAAUUCAAAUUCAAGAGGGGUAUCAUACCAUCCAAGAAGUUGAGGGAGCAAUACUCUGCUACAUUAUUGGUUAGGAGAAAGAAAAGAGCAAUAACCGAAGUACUCUCCUAUUGAAAAUAAAAAAUAAUUGCUACUCCUCCCUUUCAAAAAGCUAUUGAAGUUCAGGGGCCAUUCAAGAAGAAGGUGGACAUAUACGCGGAACUUGGUGCCAAAGAGAAGAGGGAUCUAUGACAGGUCAAGAAUGCCAAGCCAGGCGCACCAGAUUACCCCAGGCUCCCUCUUUCCCCCCCAAGAAUUUCAAACUAUGACAGAUAUGCGUAUGUAGUACGAGGAUAAGGCAACUUUACUUUUUUUAACUUAGCCUUCUAAUCUAAUCUACCCCAUGAAGAAGAAGGUAUACAACAAAUGUGAAAUCUGUUGCAAUAGCUGGGUAUUCUGGUGUAACUGGUAGUGGUUCUGUUGCAACUUACUAUCCAUUUAUUGUAUAAGUUGCGUUAGAUUAUUGAUUCAGAGAACCCUAUGUAGCAGAUGGACCAUCUUUACAAUUACUAACCUAUUUAAAGAUUGUCUUCUUAUGCCACAGUAUGCUGACAAAAUUCUUUGCCUCAUGAGGGAAAGGUAAUUAACGUACCCGAAAACUUAUGACACGACCAAUAGGAUAAUAGACCUCGAAUUCUGCAAGAAGCUAAAGGAUAAGUACGAUCAACUCAAUAAUGCCACAUUAGACUGUGGUGCAAGAUUUGAUUUCUUAUCUUCUACGUUAGACUAGGAUGAAGAAAAAAUGAUAAAAUAUGUUAGAGGGUAUAGGCCAAAUCCACACAGUAAGAGCUGAACCGAGGCAAAGAGGAUUCCUGCAGUCAUUAGCAUGAAAGUCAUAUAGUAUCGGGCUUUUGAGAUACUACUCGAGGAGGGAAAGAUCAAUGUUUAUGACUGCAACACACCUCUCAUCAAUGAUGUCAUUUUUUUCUCCUCGUGGAGCCACUAAUGGAGCUGUUGCCCAUCUUGUUGAGGGAGAGUAAACUGAUAAAUCAUUUGUCAAAUGAAGCAUUGAUGAAGAAAUCAUAGAAUUAGGGCAGUCAAAACAAUGACAUAAUCCUUCAAAAAAUAAUGCCGGUCACGCGAGCAGCUCGCACGCUCUUGCACACAUCGAAUAUUUACUGACCGACAUAGAAAUGGUCGAGCCAACGACUUUUUUGUGCAACAAUGCUGUGGCAAACCAGCAAGAGGUUUGGACUUAUGGGGUACUAACUGGUCUCUUGGAGCCUGUGUAUAAUGAAGAGCCUGUGAAAUAAUAAUUUUUUAUUUCAAGUCACACUCUACUUUACUUUAAAUUACAUGUACAUGUAGUGGCAAAAGUUUUUCUAAUAUAAUGAGAGUUAUGUUUUUUAUAAUGCAAUAGAUUGUCAAUCUCUUGUAAAAUAUAUUUUAUCUGUUCUGGAAGAUACUUUAUCUGUUGCUAUAGGUUGGUCAUCUAUUGCAUUAUGCCGAUAUUAUUUCUAUCUGAUCUAAGUCUAAUUUGUUGCAACAGAGAGAAGACCUGUUUGAUAUUUUCAACAGAUGACCUAAAUUUUACAACAUGUGGCUAAAUUUAUUUGAUAUUUUGCAGCAAUUACACGCUUGAAUAUCCAUGUGCUCGACCAAACCAAACUAGUAGCAAAUACACCACCAUGAAAAUUUUAGCAAUUAGGCUUGAAAAUCCAUGUGCCCAAAACCACCAAACCAGUAGCAAUAACGGCAACAAUGUAGUAUCUUCUUGCUUGAUUUUGUUUCUCUUCAGAAGCCUUUACUUUCUUCAAUAAACCCCAAAUUAUAUGAUUUUCUUGUGGAAGGUGUCGUUCUUCAUACCAAUCAAAGUAAUCGCAUCCACUCAAUUUCUAUAAAAACAAGAACACAAUUACAAAAUAAUUACAAGUCAGUAAUUAAUCAAAUAAUUAAAUAAAUAUUACCUUUGAAACCUUACAAGUAAAAAACCUAUAACCUGGAUUUUGUUGAUUCCAAGAAGUCUUCAAUAGAUCUUCAUGACUGCACUUAUAAUAUCGAAAAUUGUUAUCACAAAAAAUAGUGGAAGAUGCACUCGACAUUGUCAAGCUUAGUUGGAAAAAAUAAAAAAAAGAUGAAGAAAAGAAAGACCAAGUGCAAAUAAUUUGAAGAAUUUGGAUAGAUACAAAAAAGAUGACAACGAAGAAGAAGAUUUAGGUAUUUAGGGUAAAAUUUAGGAAGAAGAUGAAUAUAUAAAACAUUGGAGGAAAAAAAUGACCGUUGGGGGCAAAAUCAGACGUCAAGUCAGCAAAAAGUGCCAACCUGACAUAUUUGUGCCUAUUUUAUUUUAUGUGUUUAAAAUGAUCACUAUCUACUUGAUGCCUAUUUUAUUUUAGGUAUUUGACCUGAACACUGUCGAUGUGUUCCGCCUUUUUUAUUUCAAUUCACUUUCACUUUUUCCCAUGUAGUGGCAAUUUUUGUCCAAUGAAAGUUGAAUUUUUAUAAUGUAAUAAAUUCUUCAUCCGUUGUAACAGAUAUUCUACCCGUUCUGACAUAUAGUUUAUCUAUUGCAAUAGGUUGGUCAUCUAUUGUAUUAUGUCGGUAUUUCUAUCUAAUUCUAUCUGUUGCAGCAGUGGAAAAACCUGUUUGAUAAAUUCCAACAGAUUACCUACCUGUUGCAACUUAUAUCAAAUAUGUUCGAUAUUUUCCAAUAGAUGUGAUGUCUGUUACAACAGAUACAUUAUCAGUUGCAAUAAAUGAAUCUAGUAUUCUAUUUCAAUUAAUAAGUUCAAAUCUAAGGAAGAAAUAAAAUUCAUAGACAAAAUAGAAUAAAUCGAAGCCUUAAGAAAUUAGCUGAAAUAAAAUCAAGGAAUAAAUGAAAUGUAAAAAAAUUGUUAUGGGUACAGAUCUCAACAAAUACAUCAACAAUUUAAGUAUUGAUGCCAAAGAGUCCUAAGGAGGGGUGAGGUUAUUAUUUUGAUAGACUUAAGCUAUAAAGAUCUACUCAAUAUGGCUAAGUUGUUGUUCAUCCGUGCUAUGGAAUUCGGCUUUGCUUGUCGGGGAUCUUUAUUGUUGCUUAUGUAUGGUUUCUUCACUUUCUGUUCUCCGUAUUUCCAUAAAAAGAGUAGAGUAGAAUAUUGUCAAUACUGUUCAGCAGUAGCUUCUACAUCUACCUAGAAAGCCAAAAUUGGUCAAUACUAAUCACGGAGAUGCAAUAAAACGAAAAAGAAUAACUCAUGUGUUCUAGUAAAUCAAACAGGUCUUCCUCCUAUUUUAAAUUAUCCCAAACAGAUUAUAUUUGUAUUGCAAUAAUGAAUCAACUGGUGGAUUAAAUUUCUACAUGAGGAAGACCUGUAUGAUAAUUUCCAACGGAUGAACCAUCUAUUGCAACAUAUGACUCAUCUAUUGCAGCAGAUAGGUCAUCUGUUGGUACAAAUAAAAGUGGUACGAAGAGCUAUUUGAUUUGCUAAAACAGACAACAUAUAUGUCACAAUAGGUACUUUAUCUGGUGCAAAAAGUUAGUCAACUAUUGCAACAGAUGCAUAUAUUUGUUUGAUAAUUUUCAGCAGAUGUGUCAUGCGUUGAAACAUAAAUGUGUUUGUUUGUUAGUUGGAAGACAUAUAUGUUCACCUUGUUCAGCUCGUACUGCUCUUCUUUGGACAUUGUACAUUGCUCAGUGCAACACACGGACAGAGGAGUUGUAAUUUGGCUCUUUUGGAUGCUUGAUAAUGCCUUGGAAAUCACUUCCCUUCUCCUCUUAGCUUUAAUCUCUAAUGGAGUGGAUGGGAAUAAAAUCCUCUUUGAUAGAAUGACACCCCUCUUAGAUGUCAAUUCCCUUACAGAAGCAGUUAAUGCAUGAAUAGCAUUAAUCACUACAUCAUGUUUCACCCUGCAGUUUUGACAUUUGCGUGUAGAGCAUUGCUAGAAGAGGCAAAAUCUGUAUAACUAGUAUGAUUAUACUCAUAAUAGUUUGUUUGAAAUACUGUAAGAGAAGUAUCAUUAUCACCAAUAGUAGCACCACUACCACCACCAACAGCUCCAUCACCACUAAGACCAUCAACAACAACAAGCCCACCCUCCAAUAUUAUUUUCUUGUAAUGGCUGUUAAUUCAAAUAAUUUUAUUUUUAUUUUGUUGAUGACCUUAGGGUCCGCUAAAGUUUGCACAGACCGUAAAGUAAAAAAAAAUGGCAUCUUCAACUCUCGAUUGGUCGAAACUAGCGACGAAUGCACAAUCUAACAUAAAUUAUUACAUAUAUUAGAAUGAUGAUUAGAUCACUCUAAAAAAUUAAUAAUUAAAAUAAAAAAUUAAUUAUAAUUAUACUUAUUGAAUCCUUCAGGGGGUUGAAGAGAUCAAGAAAUUUUGUAUUUUUAUCAGUUUUGACCGACAACCAUCUCAAGAUUCUUGGACAGGAAACUUCUUCCUAGUAGUUCACCUAUUGUCUCAAAUGAGGAAUGUCUUCAAACGCUCAAGCCUAUAAAAUAACACCAAUAAAUCAAAACUAUUAUUUAGUGAAAAAAGUGAGUGAUCUCAUAAUAAAAUAAAGAAACAAAACAUUUACCAUGAAAGCUCAUGAAAAUCCAUAUAAGUUGACUGUCUUUGGGGCUAACAGAGUCAACAAAUAUUGGACAGUCAUUUUGAAGUUUUCAUAACCCCAAGGAUAGCUGUUAAAUGCCUCAAGAUCCUCAGAGAGGUUUAUAUAACCAACUCUUAUGUUGUUGUUAACGUCUCUCGCCUAAAGAAUAUUAUGUACAAACCAUACCAAGAACAACGACUGCUUGUGCUUCUUUGAAAAUUCUUGACCUUUCAACGUUUCUAUCAGAUUUUUAUUUUUGAAGCUUGGACCAACAAUGGACACCAGGUUAGCACAAUCACACGACUUGACUUUGCCGUUUUUGGGUGUGCGGGGUGCUUUUUUGGGGUUAGAAUAGGUAUAACUUGAGAAGGAGGAUAACAUUUUACUCCAGUAACUAUGGUAAACUCCUUCCAACCAAAACAAAUAGGCAUGCCACAUUAAUUUAUCCACACCUCAUCCAUCUUAUCUUUGUUUUCAUACAUAAACCUACGCUUGAGAAGUUCAUAUAUCAUUUUUAUUUGGAAACGAGCAUUGUUAUCCUUCGGUAAAUCAAGAUAUUCUCCAAAGCAUCUAUCUCUAAAAUAAGCAUCCAAUUUUUGUUCUCGAAGUAUUUUUUUGAAGGCGUCAUAAGAUUUUUCCAUGGAUGACAUAACGACGAAAUCACCUGUUAAAUUUGUGGCACCAUCGCACUGCAUUCUCACAAGGUAACGAUCAAUGCUGAAGGUAUUGACCAACUCUUCAGCGGAAAGGCUAUUAGAAUUUGGAUAAUCUCUUUUGAAAUUCCUCCUCCUCGUGUUCAUUAUAUUCUGCUCCCGAUUGCGAUAACGCUUGUAAAGCAAGCUCAUAGAGUGGUGGAUGUAGCCUAGUUGCUGAACUUGUUCCUUUACUUGGACUUGAUUUGGCUUCUAUUCUUUUGGGAGCCAUAUUAUCUAAUAUUAACAGAAACAUAAAAAAAUAUUUUAUAGUUGAUUAAUGCAUUAUUAAAAAAGGAUAACAGUAAAUGUAACAAGCAAAAUAGUAAAAUAAUAGUUUCAACAGAUCACUUAUCUAUUGCACCAAUUAGUAUAUCUAUUGCAACAGAUAGUUAAACUGUUGUAUCAUAUGAUAAAAUGUUUUAUCAGAUGAAUAAUCUGUUACAUUAGAAUUGUAAUCUGAUGGUUUCUAUGGUGCAUCAAAUGAUUUAUCUAUUUCAUCAUCUGAUAAAUCUGUUGCAUCAGAUGGUUAAUAUGUUGCACCAGAUGGAUAAUCUGUUGGAUAAAAUAAAAAAUAGUAGCAUGAUUUUGUUCAACAAAAAAACAACAAUAUCACCAUUUGUACCAAGAACAAGAACAAAACAAAUCAACCCAAAUCGUUGUUAUAUUUUUAUAAACACAAACAAAAAAAUCGAACUUCAAAAAAAGGCAACAAACAACAAAAAUUCAUAAUUAACUUCGAAAAGAGAAGAGAAAAAAUACCAGAAAUUAGGAUUUUGUUCAGACCACAUUUCAAAUUAAAGUAACAAAUAUUGAAAUUGUUAACCAAUUCUAUAAGAGAAGUUGGCUCAAGUUCCUCAUUUUCUUUAAAAAUAAAGAGGCCAUAAAUUUUUACUUGUGAAAGAAGAAAAAACGAUGAUAAAUUCAAAGUUUUUGUGGACAGAGAGCAAGGUUAUCACGUCGAUUGAAGUUUGAAGAAUUCAAAGUUAUUGUGGCCGGAGAGCAAGAUUGUCACAUCGAUUGAAGGUUGAAGUUGAAAUGAAACUCAAAGCCCAACUAUUUAUCAUCGUAUGUUGAAGUCUCCAAGGAUUGAAAUGAGAAAUUUGUAGAACUGUUGGUUGGAAGAGAGUUGAGAGAAGGUGUCGAGAGAGAAAGACGAGAGAGAUUGGUUGAUUUGGAUUGAAGAUGGGUGUGGGUUGCGUUCAUUUGUAUUUUUGAAAAGAUUAAAAUUUUUUAAAAAUAUUAAUCAAGUCCACAAUUAACUUAAUCAAGUUUUCUAAUGAUGUUUGACCCUUUAAGUUAGUUAAUAUCACCAAUCCUUCAUUCAAGACUUAAAAAGACACCUUUUAUUCAAUUUUCUCAACGCUCUUCCUUCUCUUGUUGUCUUCUACAAAUUGUUUAACACUAUGCUAAAUUUAAAGCAUUACUAUGUUUUCCUUUCUCUUUUCAUGAAAUGAAAUUACCCAUCCCAAUUAGUGAUUUCAUAUUGAAUAUCAUGAUUAACAUUUAUUGCCUGAUGCAUCAUUCUGAUUGUGUUUUUUUGGUGUUACCAUUUUACUUGAAGAGAAAUUUUAUUUAGUGUUGUCACCUGUACUUCCCUAAUAAUGGGAUUAUUUGUUGAACAUAAGCUUACAGAUAUUGAAUUGUUCAAGAAGUUGGUGACAGAGAAUAUUUAUGAGCCCGACCGAGUCAUAUAUGCAACUAUCAUGAAUGGGCUCAACAAAAGGGGUCAUACUCAAAAGACUUUAAGUUUGCUCCAUUUAGUAGAACAAGGGUGCACUAAGCCCGAUGUAUGAAUCUAUAACAUUGUCAUAGAUGCCCUUAUAAUGAUAAAAACUCAGACGCUGCUCUAAAUAUAUCUUGAAUGAGAUGAAACAAAAAGGCAUUCCUCCGGACAUAGUCACAUAUGGUUCAUUAUAUUAAUUGAUGGUCUAAGUAAGCUUGGUCAAUGGUAAAAGGUUAGAAAUUUGUUCUCUAAGAUGGUGAACCUCAAUAUUUAUCCAGAUAUGCACACCUUCAAUAUGGUGAAUGAUGGGCUAUGCAAAGAAGGAAAAGUUGAAGAUGCCGAGGAAGUAAUGGAACAUAUGAUUAAAAAAGGUGUAGAGCCUAAUAUAAUCACCUACAACGUGAUAAUGGAUGGAUAUUGUUUGCAUGGUCAAGUGGACAGAUCAAGGAGAAUUUUUGAAAU
rnacentral:lncRNA from 1 species